UAAAAGGGCGGCCGCUGAAGUGGCUCUGAGAACAAAGGAGUUAACAUUCGGACUCCACAGGUGGCCCGGGGUGGCCCUGGAGGAGCCCGCCUUUACCUUGCCCUAGCCCACCGGCGUGUCCCGCAGUUCCGAGCUAAACGCGGCAGGCCGGGAAGGCUCGGGCUGUCUGAAGAGAGGCGUGACCUCGCCUACACCAGAUCCAAGGCGCACAUUCCGAGACACCUCUCAACCUCACUCAACACGUGCCGUUUCCAACUCCGAGGCAGAGGCAGCGCCUGGCGACCCCGGGGCCUGCGUCCCAGCCCGGUCAGCAUCGCAGAUGUUACCCAAACUCUGACGGUCCCUUUAAGAACUCACCUGGAGUCGCGCCCUCCGAAGCUGAGCCGCCGUCGGCCAGCGCUGCAGGCCCCAGCUUAUAAAUCUAUGAAGGUGUCCAGGUCCUGCCAGACUCCACUGCAUCUUUUGCUUUCACUCCAGCAGAGUAGCAGCAUGCUGCCUGUGCCAAGGCAAUCACUAAAAGGAAAGGAUUUAAUGCUGUCAAAAAAGCUUAUGCCAGCUUAGGCUGCAAGAAGAGGAACAGUGUCAAGUAUGUUGAAAGUGGCCAUAUUGGUCAGACCUCCAUGAGAGCCUAGGGGGCAUUGCUUAGCAGCACACUUUUAAAGGAAUCUAAACAAACCAGCAUCUGGAAAGAAGAGAGUAACCACAGCAAUCAGGAAACAACUGUAGAAUCUAGGGCCUUCAUUGGAAAAACAGAAGUCUCCAGGGAGCUGCAGUCGUCAAACAGGCUUAUUCUGUGUGCCCAGUGGGCAAGUACAGUCAAUGGAUGAAAAUUCAACCAAUGGACAAACACAGGAAGUUCUUCCUUAACAUGAGUUGUCAGAAACUGUCCAAAAUUCCGAAGAGCUGCCUCAAGGUAGUGGAAAUUUUUUUUUUUUUUUUUAAUCGGGAAGGUGCUGAAUGAAGCCAGCAAGGAUUCUGUGUCAGAGGGUGGUAGAUACCCAGGACGUAAGGUUGAACUAGGUGACCUCUGAGACCACAGUUCUAAGCUGUUGAAACCUGAGUCCCUGCUGAAUACUGAAAUGGUAUUAGCACCCUUUAGUCUACAUCAAGAAUUCAUGCUACCCAGUUUUAGUGGUACCGAGACUGAUCUCUUUCUCAUAGAUCAUUCUUAACAGAAUAAAAGCUACAGGUUGAAACCAAUUCCCUUUAAAAUGUGGACAGUUUGCCAUCUCCAUGAUGGGCAGUUAGGCACUGAGCUAAUGCUUUUUAAUGGAAGAGCCACCCUAAGUUUCCUGGAUUACGGUAUAAUGGAGUACUAAAUCAGUAUAGGACUAAUAACUGCCUCCCAUGUAAACUGGUCUAUCCGGAGAGUGGUAUAGCCCCUCAUACAGUGUUCAAAGACAGAUUUAACUCACUGCAGGUCCACAGCAACCUAUAAGAUAAACUCAUUAGUUAUGAUCUCCCACUUUGCAAAGGAGGGCACAGAAGAAGAAGAACUGAGAUAACUUGGUUUAGGACACCACAGCUGGCUGGAGCUAGGCUGAACAUUAGUUCAUUGUUUCUUCAACUAAUCUAUGCUGCUUUUUCUCUACUUGGCUCCUUUUCUAAAUUACACAAAACAAAACACUGGGCACAGAGUGGUGUAUACGUGUGUGUGAGGGAGACAGAGAGAGACAGAAAGAGAAAGACUAAGUGAAAGAGAAAAGAGAGAGGCUGAGCGAGACUCAGAUAAAAUAAGGCACAAGUAUUGGGCUAGUCUGUUAUACAGUAUACUUGUCAUAUAUUUGAAUGCCUUUAACAGUGGAGAUAGUUUUGAUGGAAAUAGGACCUUGAAGAAAUAUAUAUCCGCACCCUGGUGGUAUGUUAUAACUAAAUGAGUUGGUUUUUUGUUUCGGAGUUUUUUGGGUUUCUUUUUAAUGCAAAGGUAUAUAUUUAAAAUACUCUAUAGCUUCCUUCUCUCCUUCAUUUCAUUUCCUUGAGUAUGAGAGAGGUUUUCUAGAUGACGGGACAUCCAAACUGGAAGUGCCCUUAGAUCCCAUCAACUCCCAUCCCCAUGUUUGAGAAGCAUGUGAAAUAAACUCCAGAAGAGCUCCCAGACAACGUCAGCACACAAUUAUCAGAGGACUUUUCCCUGAUGGCAGAAAGCUACUGACAUUUCCAAAACAAUCCAUCUUUCUUUUAGAGAGAAGGGGCUGGGGGUAAGGAGAAAUUAGUAAUCUUUUCUAGAGAUACGUUUCUGAGUUUAACCAAAUUUGCUUUUCUGCUUUUGAAGAACUUGUGGUAUUGACAGAACCAUAGGAUCCCAUAUGGAAAUCCUCAGGAUUAUACUAAAAUCUCCUUACAUGAAACAACCUCUUCACCCCACCCCCUGCCAAGAGAAUGACCAUUGUCUGUUCACAGAAGGCUUUGGCCAGGGCCCUUCAGUCAGAUUAUCCUUAUGUAGGUAGAGAACAUAAACUUGGAAACUUAAUUGGAAUUUGAAGAAAUGCUAUUAGAAUUUUAGGAAGUCAUUUGUAUUCCAUUUCUGAGAUGUGACCUGAAUAGAAUUCUGGUAAGUGGAGAAGCCACAAGAUUCUUCAUAAUUAUAUGUGGACUGUGUCCAGUGACCAAUCUCAUUUAGGAUGGAAAACUGUCACAACCUUCCAAAACAAAGACCUGUGUGCCAGUCUUUCAUUUUUGGGAAGUGACACUCACUAGGGCUGUCAUUUUCCUAUUCCUCAUGUUGUAUAACCCUAAAUUCCUUUAUUAUUUUCUUCUGUUUUACACUAACAAGAACGGUAACGAUAAUGAAUCAUUUAAAUCUUGCUAUUUAAAUUUUCUUUAGAUUAAAUUAAUUUCUUCCCAAGACAAUUUUAUCAACUGAGAUUAAAUAUUUAUGAUUAAAGCAUCUUCUGCCUUUUAUAAAUAAAUUGGGCAGCAGUUGAAGAAACUUUUCCAAAUAUGCUUUUUAAAAAUCCUGCAAAAUUUUCCCAAGUUGGAUAUCAUUUCCACAUGAAUAAACAAAGCCAAGCUCAAAGGGAGUAGGAGACAAUAAGUCAAAAAUUUAAAAGGGAUGGGCCAUUACCAAUUACUAAUGAAGAUGAACAAAGCAAUUUAAGAAUAAGAGAGAAGCAAAUAUUUAAUAAGAAAUGGUACCAUAAUAAUUUGGAGAAGCUUGGGUUCAAAAGAGCAGAAUAAAGCUGUAUCUCUAUUCUUUUUUUCUCUUGGAAAAACACUCCAAAAAUAUUAGAACAAAGAGAAACUUGUUCCUCCAUCCUUAAUAAAAAGGAGUGGCUAGGAGCGGUGGCUCACAACUGUAAUCCCAGCACUUUGGGAGCCCAAGGCAGGUGGAUUGCUUGAGGUCAGGAGUUUGAGACCAGCCUUACCAACAUGGUGAAACUCAUCUCUAUUAAAACUACAAAAGUUAGCCAGGCAUGGUGGUGCCCAUCUGUAAUCCCAGCUACUCAGGA
ensembl:lncRNA